AUUGAACGCUGGCGGCAGGCCUAACACAUGCAAGUCGAGCGAGCGGCGGACGGGUGAGUAAUGUCUGGGAAACUGCCUGAUGGAGGGGGAUAUCUACUGGAAACGGUAGAUAAUACCGCAUACCAUCAGAUGUGCCCAGAUGGGAUUAGCUCGGAGGUGGGGUAACGGCUCACCUAGGCGACGAUCCCUAGCUGGUCUGUGAGGAUGACCAGCCACACUGGAACGGAUACACGUUCCAGACUCCUACGGGAGGCAGCAGUGGGGAAUAUUGCACAAUGGGCGAAAGCCUGAUGCAGCCAUGCCGCGUGUGUGAAGAAGGCCUUCGGGUUGUAAAGUACUUUCAGCGGGGAGGCGUUACCCGCAGAAGAAGCACCGGCUAACUCCGUGCCAGCAGCCGCGGUAAUAC
rnacentral:rRNA from 1 species